UGCCGCGUGAGUGAAGAAGGCCUUCGGGUUGUAAAGCUCUUUCGGCCGGAACGAAAUCGCGUACGUGAAUAACGUGCGUGGAUGACGGUACUGGAAGAAGAAGCACCGGCUAACUACGUGCCAGCAGCCGCGGUAAUACGUAGGGUGCGAGCGUUAAUCGGAAUUACUGGGCGUAAAGCGUGCGCAGGCGGUUCUGCAAGUCAGAUGUGAAAUCCCCGGGCUUAACCUGGGAACUGCGUUUGAAACUACGGAGCUAGAGUACGGCAGAGGGGGGUGGAAUUCCACGUGUAGCAGUGAAAUGCGUAGAUAUGUGGAGGAACACCGAUGGCGAAGGCAGCCCCCUGGGCCGAUACUGACGCUCAGGCACGAAAGCGUGGGGAGCAAACAGGAUUAGAUACCCUGGUAGUCCACGCCCUAAACUAUGUCAACUAGUUGUCGGGGAAGCAAUUCCUUGGUAACGAAGCUAACGCGUGAAGUUGACCGCCUGGGGAGUACGGUCGCAAGAUUAAAA
rnacentral:rRNA from 1 species